rfam:Nocardia soli strain Y48, complete genome.
AGGGCCACCGGGUCGACCCCGCGGGUGACGACGAGGUAGUCGCGGAUCACGAUGCCGUGCCGGUUCUC